UGGGGAAUAUUGCGCAAGGGGGGAAACCCUGACGCAGCGACGCCGUGUGAGGGAAGAAGGCCUUCGGGUCGUAAACCUCUGUCGGGAGGGAAGAACCGCCGGUUUCCGAACAGGGAGCCGGCCUGACGGUACCUCCGAAGGAAGCGCCGGCUAACUCCGUGCCAGCAGCCGCGGUAAUACGGAGGGCGCGAGCGUUAAUCGGAAUCACUGGGCGUAAAGCGCGCGUAGGCGGCCAGAUAAGUCGGGCGUGAAAGCCCUCGGCUCAACCGAGGAAUUGCGUUCGAUACUGUUUGGCUUGAGUCCUGGAGAGGGUGGCGGAAUUCCGGGUGUAGGAGUGAAAUCCGUAGAUAUCCGGAGGAACACCGGUGGCGAAGGCGGCCACCUGGACAGGUACUGACGCUGAGGUGCGAAAGCGUGGGGAGCGAACGG
rnacentral:rRNA from 1 species